UGCCUUUACUGAGCCGAAUAUGGUAUAGAUAUUGAAUUGGAUAUACUGUGUUUAAAAAUACCUUUGAAAAUUAUCAAGUUACAGUUGAUUCGCGGUAAAAUUGCAUUCUGUUUAACAAUUUCUAGUAUAUUGUUGGGUUUCAGCCUCACUGAGUAUCCCCCUUUUAUCCAAUUCAAAAACCAACAAAAAGAGCCGUGAUGUAGUGGUUAAUGCAUCGGACUACUGACACAAAGGUUCCUGGUUCGAUUCCCGUUCCGGCAUGAAAAUUUCAGGGACUGAAUUUUCGGCUCUCCAUUGACACCAUUUGCGAGUAUGGUCUUGAGGAAA
rnacentral:lncRNA from 1 species